rnacentral:lncRNA from 1 species
CUGUAGGUUCAAGCUGCUUUUGGCCGUGAAGCACGCAAAGUUCUGCUGUUAGUAGGCGUGUAGGGAGGAGGCAUUGUCUGGGCUGUACGUUAAGCGAAAUUGCCCUCUUUGAGCAACGUGCUGUGCUUCCUGGAAAGCUUACAUCGAAUCUUUUGCCUGUCCGGAGGGGAAGACCUGGCCGUUGCAGGCCGUAGUCAACAGUGAAUCAACCAAACAAAUAAUUUGGCAUUUUAAAACUGUUCCGUACCUUGACAGCCAAACGUUUUUGGUGCUUUUUGACAAGUAAUAACAAGGACGCUUGGAAUGGAAUAAACAAAGAAUGGCACCUGGGAGAGAAAGUGAUGCAGCGUUUGUUUACAUUUCCCAGAGCGUAGUUUUCAUUAUUCUUUGUUAAACACAGAUUCACUCAUGAGAGUGACAGAGUUUCUGUUUCCAGGAUUUCGGCACAAGAAGAGAGACUGGCUUGAUGAAACGAUAGGAGAAAUGGAAGCUUCAGUUCAAGAUCACCUGAAUCCAGCUAAGAUCAUUGCGAUGGAGGAGCUACCACUGAUGAAUUGAUGAAUAAAAAGAAGAAAGAAAUACAGAAAAAAAAAAGUUCCCCUAUGAGUACACCAGAAGCCUCUAUAUAGAAUCCACUGUCCUGCUCUAGAAAAGUCUGGUGGGAAAUGGCUCGUAAGACAUUGUCUUUUGUAACCUUCUCGUCAGGUCUAUCAUGCAAUUUCUUCAUCAGCCCUGUCUGUCCAGCCCCAGCCCCAACAAUUGCUGUUUGAGUUGCCAGCUCAUCUGAUGCAGCAGGCCCUCUUGGUUUGGCCGGCUGUGUCCAAAAGUGCUUCCAUCUGAACGGAGGAUCUUCCAGGUGGAAUGUAUAGCCCCCAGAAAUAGGGGGGCUUUCUCCUGACCUUGCCUACUUGUUUUAAUUUCAUGUGAAGGCUGCAGAGCCAGCACAAAGGCACAAACGUGGCUCUGGAAACAAAGCAGAGAUUACCAUCUGAAAUAGGUAUGUACAGAGUUUGAAAUCACCGAAAGAAUUCAAAGUUCAUCGUGUCACAUAGGCAGUCACUGACUGUAAAGAGGAACAGGCCAGGCAAACCUAAAAUAAGGUAUCGGUGCGCCUUUCCAUACAAUGCCCAACCAUCGCCGGGCAGAAGGUUGGCUCAGCCCUACUGGAGAUGAGCUGAGAGCAUGUACUGUCUGCUUGAGUCCUCUUCAGCAAAUUCUUUAUGCUACUGAAUGCGAUGGGGAAUUA